CAAUAUAAUUAACAGUCACAAUCAUCAUUUCUGGUCCAAAGGCAAUCCUCGCUGGCUCGGACAAGAUAAUAUUCAACAAAAACUUGCAGCGAAUGUUUGGUGUGGAGUAUUACACGGUCAUCUGCUUGAACCUUAUUUGUACGAACGCAAUUUAACAUCUGGAAUUUAUUUAAAUUUUCCUUGUACGCAAUUUCAAAUAUUGAUGCAAAGGCUUCCAGAUGAUAUUUAGGAGGAGGUAGGAAGGUGUACCUUUCCCAUUCAGUUCAGGGAGUGAUUCUCAGGCGUACGACGCCGAUGCAGCCUUGAUGACUACGGAAAAAUUAAGAUGGAAGAGAAAACUUUCUCAUGACGCGCGGACGUAAUGUUUGCAGGUCAGCGUCGAUGCAAUUAGUUCGCGCUCAGGCGAUUUUUACGAUCGACCGAUCUUGAAGUUUUUCGCUUUUAAGGUAUUGCGCAAACCGAGCCGUCGCCGUUGUCUCUUACUUUCCUCGUGCGUUUCUUUUCUUUCUUACGCGGGCACCAGGAAUUGCUCGCGGUGUCUGGCACUGGCACGAGAAUAAAUUCGCCGAUUGUUUAAUGCGAUUUCAAUUUCACGUUUCAUAAUUUUAUGCACAAUAUUGUAUUUCACGUUACGUCCUCAAAAUCUUUCUGCACUUUCUCCCGAAGAGUCGCACCCGUGACUCGUACGUAAGCGCGUGAUCCGUUCCGUAAGGAAAAAUGAACCUUUCAGAACGAAUCAAACUAAACAUGUAACAUAAAACUACUCCUGGACGAGCACGUGUGAAAGCCUAUUAUUUGAUGUUUUGGCUUCUUUUAACACUUUCAUAGCGAUUUUUCAUUUCGCUCUCUUAAUUGAAUAUUUGUUGAUAAUUAUUGUAUUCUUUAAGGAUUAUUAAACCAAUUAUUUUUCAAAAUUAUGGUAUUACUAAUAUACUGAAGCUAUAUUGCUAAAAAUACGCACGAUGAUACAAUCCAGAGUGAUACGAACGAUGCAACCACGUUGUUAUACUAAAUCGUUGCAUAAUAAUUGGCAAACACAGUUAAUAUGGUAACGAAAUAGUGAAACGGCCCUAUUAUUUGAAGCAGCAGCGUAACCAGAAUCGUUCCACACCCACGCCAUCUUCUCAGAAGAUCGUUUCGCGCGAUUUCCAUUGAAGACACCACGAACCCAUCGACGGACUUCUGUCUGAAUCCCGUUGAAGUAGGCGUUACCGCGAUUGCAAUUAUUCAAUAAUUCGUGCAGCAACAUUCCACAGUUUCGCAAUCGAAAACGCAUCCUACUCACGCUGGGAUGUCUUCCUCAGAUAGAGCGUCUAACUAGAUGUUUCGCAACUUGUCUCGCACCACUUCCCACGAACCGCGGCGAUCUCUUUGAUAUCUUUCUCUGUGUUCGUCAGACUUGAAAGUAGACAAAGGUGACCUCGAAUGUAGAGGUAAACGGUUCUUCGAGGAACUGCUGACCAGAGCCUCUCAGAGGUCGAAAGUUACCCGAACCGUUCGCCCUUUGAUGAAAGAAUAAUAUUAAACGAAAUUACAAGGACAAGGAUUUACGUUAAAUGUCGAACAAUUGAAGACGAAUAAAGAACGAAUUUAUUCAAUUAUUUUUCUAUUAAAAUUAACAGAGAAAAUGUUUACUUGGUCCUCUUAUUUAAUAGAAUUUAAUUAAUUUUUGGAAUUCAUUUGAAAUAUCACUAGUAAAUUGUACAAAUAACGAAUACAUCGCGAAAAAACCAAAUAACUACAACAGUUAACCGUCGAGAGAUAAAACGCCUUAAUGUCAUAAUUUAACGAAUAUAUUUGAUAAAAUUCUACCCCAUAUACUCUACGACUGCUCUGAAAAGCUCAAUAAUCAUGUGCGCUCUUAGCAAAAUAUUUGUUUUUUCAAAUUCUCUUGCGGCUAAUGAAACGUAAACGACACCAGGCUUCUCGAGGCAAGAGGAAAACAAGAGGAGGAAGCAAAUUAACACUUUCAGGCAGAAUCGAUCUUGAGAUUAAUUAAUUAACGUCGUAUUCUAGUAUCGAUUGAUUAGCCGAUACAAUUGAAGGAAUAAUCGACAGAAGUAAUCAAGAUUAAUGGUAUGACUGAUUAAUAAGAAUCAGUCAUGACGAUUAACGAUUGAAGUAAUCGCUAUGCGACUGACGAUUAACAAUUGACAAAUGAAUACUGCUAAUCGUUCUCAACGACUACGAUUAAGAUAAUCGUAAUUGUUCGGGACGAUCGAUGAACGAUUAACGAUUAAUAUAAUAGUAAGGAGCUUUAUCGAGAACGUAACCACUGAAACGUCAGUAAAAAGACAGUCGCUCCACGUUUAGAUAUAGUUGUUGGUAGGGAUAUUGUGAGGUCGUAACCCGAAACAGCAGUUAUUCCUUUAUUAGCACAGGUAAUUGAUUCCUAAGACGACAGGUACGCCGCGGCUCUAAGGUAUACAUGUCCACGUUGCACUCCAAGACUAAAUAUGUUUUGUUACGAGUAUCUCGGAUUUUUCCAAACUGGAAAAACGAAAAACUUUUGACAAGAGCGUCGCUCUUGUCGAUAUAUUAUUGGCUUGCAAAAAACUGAAACGACUGGGAAUAGCGAGAACUGAACGGAUCGUGUAAAAGCACCAAGUUUUCCGAACUGAAACGAAACGAGAAUAGAAACUGAAACUGAACCGAGAACAGAUAUGAUCGUCUAAAAGGACCUUUACAUGUUAUUAUUUCGACGGGCACACACGUUCUCGGUCGCAGGUGAACGCACUCAGGUGCCACGCGAUCAGCUGUUUUUAUGCGUCGUUUUUCGUCGUUUUUCUUCGACUCGCGUUCGCACGUUUUUCGCUUCCUGUAAUAAUUGCGCAUUUAUGUUGUGCGAUGACUGCAGCGAAAUGCUUCACAGUUUCUCACCUUUCCUUUCAGUCCUUUCCUCGUUUAACGAAGUUUUCUACAUUUACUUUCGAGUCGAAUUAUAGUCGAGUUCAAUCGAGUAUUUUCAAAUAAACGAAUAGAUCUAACGAUCCUAUAUCCCACAUUAUUUAUGUAUUUUCCACUUGCGAGUAACUAGAAAAAAGAAACACACAAACAUACAAAGUAUAUGUACGCUAUAAUUUUCAGAUGAAAGAGAUCCAUGGUACCAUAACGACUGACCUAUGAACCGGUUGAUGAAAAGUUGUUAAAUGAAAUUAAGAAAGAAUUUUCAUUAUUAUUUUUUCGUUGAGAAAUAGGCCUUUAAACACACCUUCAUUUUUGUGUGCAUUAUUCUAGAUUAAUGAUUUCAAACUUAGCUGCCAAAAUUAAAUAAUAGGACUAUUGGAUUAUAUAGGAUAAUUAGAUAUUCUUUAAUUUUGGUUCUCGCUACGACUAACUGUAAAUGUAUAUAAACGUAUAUGAAUUAA